rnacentral:rRNA from 1 species
GAUGAACGCUGGCGGCGUGCCUAAUACAUGCAAGUCGAGCGAACAGACGAGGAGCUUGCUCCUCUGACGUUAGCGGCGGACGGGUGAGUAACACGUGGAUAACCUACCUAUAAGACUGGGAUAACUUCGGGAAACCGGAGCUAAUACCGGAUAAUAUAUUGAACCGCAUGGUUCAAUAGUGAAAGACGGUUUUGCUGUCACUUAUAGAUGGAUCCGCGCCGCAUUAGCUAGUUGGUAAGGUAACGGCUUACCAAGGCAACGAUGCGUAGCCGACCUGAGAGGGUGACCGGCCCACUGGGAACUGAGCCACGGCCCAAACCCCGAGGGGAGGCAGCAGUAGGGAAUCUUCCGAAAGGGGGGAAAGCCUGACGGGGCAACGCCGGGGAGGUGAUGAAGGUCUUGGGAUCGUAAAACUCUUUUAUUAGGGAAGAAAAAAUGUGUAAGAAACUAUGCCAGUCUUGACGGUCCCUAAGAAGAAAGCCCCGGCUAACUACGU